GCUUCUCUCAACUUUAUGAAAAACUUAAAAUGUAGGCCAGGUGUGGGGUAGGCUCACACCUGUGAUCCCAGCACUUUGGAAUAGGUGAGGCAAGAGGAUCGCCUGAAGUCGGCGUUUGAGACCUGACUGGGCAACAUAGCAAGGCCCUAUCUCUACAAAAACUAAAAAAACUUAGCUGGGCAUGGUGGUGCACAUCUGUAGUCCUAGCUACUUGGGAAACUGAGGUGGGAGAUCACUUGAGGUGGGAGAUCUUCUUGAACUUCAGAAGUUUGCGGCUGCAGUGAGCUGUGAUCACAUCACUGCACUCCAGCCUGGGUGACAGAGCAAGACCCUGUCUCUUAAAAAGUAGUAAUAAUUACACUUUAUAAUAGCCUCCAGCACUUUGUCAGAUGUACAAUUAAGCAAUCUUUCAUGCUUUGUUAAAAAAAAAAAGACAUUUAU